rnacentral:rRNA from 1 species
UACGGGGGGGGCAAGCGUUGUUCGGAAUUACUGGGCGUAAAGGGCUCGUAGGUGGCCAACUAAGUCAGACGUGAAAUCCCCAGGCUUAACCUGGGAACUGCGUCUGAUACUGGAUGGCUUGAAUUCGGGAGAGGGAUGCAGAAUUCCUGGUGUAGCGGUGAAAUGCGCAGAUAUCAGGAGGAACACCGAUGGCGAAGGCAGCUCGCUGGGACGGUACUGACGCUGAGGCGCGAAAGCGUGGGGAGCAAACAGG